rnacentral:rRNA from 1 species
UACGGGGGGAGCAAGCGUUGUUCGGAUUUACUGGGCGUAAAGGGCGCGUAGGCGGCCACCGCAAGUCGGUUGUGAAAUCUCUGGGCUUAACCCAGAAAGGUCAACCGAUACUGCGGGGCUAGAGUGCAGAAGGGGCAACUGGAAUUCUCGGUGUAGCGGUGAAAUGCGUAGAUAUCGAGAGGAACACCUGCGGCGAAGGCGGGUUGCUGGGCUGACACUGACGCUGAGGCACGAAAGCGUGGGGGAGCAAACAGG